GGGGGCAAUACAGUGGGGUCCUAUGGGGUCUGGGGGGGUCCUAUGAGGUUUGGAGGAGUUAUAUGGGGUUUUGGGGGGUCCUAUGGGGCUCUGGGUUCCUAUGGGGUUGGGGGGGGGCAAUACAGUGGGGUAUUAUGGGGUCUGGGGUGGUCCUAUGGGGCUGUGGGGUCCUAUGGGGUUGAGGGGGGCAAUACAGUGGGGUCCUAUGGGGAUGGGGGGGUCCUAUGGGGUUUGGAGGGCAUACAGUUGGGUCCUAUGAGGAUGGGGGGGUCUUAUGGGGUUUGGGAGUGUUAUAUGGGGUUUUGGGGGGUCCUAUGGGGCUGGGGGGUUCUAUGGGGCUGGGGGGAGUCCUAUACAGUUUAG
rnacentral:lncRNA from 1 species